CAGUGCUGUUUGGCAAACCCCUGGUGCGACUAGGGCUGGGCCUGAGCCCCAGCUGCAGGAUCCUGGGGCGCCGACAGCUCCCUGUGGGACGAGAAGCCGCUGGAGCACAGACCCCAGGGCCUUCCCCGGGACGCGGCCUGGAAAACAAGAACAGGGGCUUUGAGAGAACCAAGCAGGUCCUGCUCGCAGCCUCUCUCUGACGGCCUCCGCCUCUGCUCCUGUCCUGGCCCAGCACUGUUGUCACUGUUGUCUACAAUGCGGCUCUGUUGAUACUGCCCUUGGACGCUUCAGAACCUCAGAGGUGGAGGGGACCUUAGGGGCCAUCUGGUCCAGCCCCUUGAUUUGUCACAAGAGGCAACCGAGUGCAGAGUGGCACGGGGACGUGGCCCUGUGAAGGCCUGGGUGUCUGGGUCCUGCCUCCCCCACCAUGGGGACAUGGGCCCCUCUCCCUUUGGAGGAGAUUGUGGGUGGAGGGCUGGGUGACAAGCCCAAGACUUAAAGGGAAACCAAGGCAAGAGAGGAGCCCGGAGGCGGUCCUGGAGGGGCCACUCCCGCUGCCCCGUGCUGGAAGGAUCACCAGCACCCGGGGGUGGAGCAGGGCCCAGGGAAGGGCCAUGGGAGCCGAGCCGCAGAGCUGGCAGGAGCCUGGGGGGUGCGCCCAAAGAGCCGAGCGGGCCCCUGUGCUCUGUCUCACAGUCACCUGCCCAGCCCCAACCCCAGCCCUGCACGGCCUCGAUGGUAAUUUGAUGAGUCACCCGCCCCCGCCUGCAGACAGGGCAGCCACACCCAGGGCAGCUGGCACCCCGGUGGUGUUUCUGCUCAGAGCUGCUGGGCCGGCAGCCUGCCAGGCCACGGCUGGGCACCGAUGAGGAGCCAGGACGCUAAGAAACCUGCUGAGUGGCAGAACUUGCCGUCUGCGUUGCCCCAUCUCCAUGCCAGGGCCUCCUUCGGACAGCCCGGCCCAGGUGCCUUCUUGGCAGGCCAGUAACAAGCAGUGGGCCUGGCAUCUCCCAGAUCUGUGCUCUGUGGGGCUCUGGGCUUCAGGCUGCUCCCACCGGCUGGGCCUAAGCAGGGAGCCAAGACGGUCAGGUGUGACCCCCUCUGGCUGGCAGGGCUGCUGCUCCAUCUCCGCCUGUCAGAUCCCAUCCUGGCCCAGGUCUAAUGCUCCCUCCUCCUGCACAGGCCCCCAGAUGCCCUGAGCUCCCCCAACCCUUAGGGUAAUUGUUCCUCUCUGCCACUUAGCACAUGGCGCUUCCCCCGGUGCACGGUGAGCUCUUGGCCUCACCUGCAGGCUUGCUCCAGGGCCCCGGGUAGCGCACUGACUGGGUGACUGCUCAUCCUGUCCAUCGACAUUCCAUCUGCAUGUUCUCUGACAACAUCCCUGAGACCAGACGCCCCCUUCGGCAUCUUUCUUCUCCCACCUCCCCCCACCCGCUUUUCAGGCCCUACCAUCACGCCAGAGGCCUCCACUUCAGGCCCUACUGGGCUGGGGCUGGACCUGGGCCCAUUUUGACAAAGAGGCUCAAGGAAUUGGGGGUUUCCAUGGCACCUUGACCCUCCAGCCAUCCCCUGUCUUGGCUGUCCACUGGCCGUGGCAGCUGCUGAGGGAGCAGGGCGGACAGGCCUGGGUCCUGGAGCGCUGGGGGAAACUGCUGACUUCCCUCCUUUCCAGCGGGGCCUCCAAACCCACUUUGCAUCUGCUAGUCCUGGCCCUUGGCAGCCCCUCCUGCUCCAAGGAAGACCCAGGUGGCCUCUAUCUUAGAUUCUGUCCCCCACCCCACUGUCUUGGAAACUGGUCAGCCAAGCAGGAAUCACUGGCAUUUGGCAGCAAGAAGGGUCAGCUCAGGACGCCCCCCGGCAACUUCUGAACCUCAGCAUAAGCCAGAGAUGCCUGCUGCACCGCUCUCAGCUCCAGCCCAGCUCCGGAACGCAGGCUGCGGUGAGGAGGGCGCUGGGCAGCGGGGCCACGGGACAGCAGACAGAAUCUGGAGGCCUCUUAGGAACCAGGGAACUCUGGAGACCCCAGAACUGUGGAAGGCAGGGCUGUGGUCCAGGACAAAGGGCUCUGCUCUUAGUGCUGUGAAGGGAAGUCGUGCCACGACCCUCGGAAGAGUGGGUGCCCUUUGGAUGGCUUGCUGGCGUGGGUGAUGCCUGCCUCCACUUCCUCCUUUGUGUGCGUAGAGGCAGGACAACGUUUCACAUCGACGUCGUUCUUUACAGUCUGCCAAGUAGUCUCCUGUCCUUUAUCUCUUGGGUUGUGCCCAUCAAUUCCCCGAGGGAAGUGCUCGCCCCGUUAUGACCCCUAUUGUAAGGACGGGGAGACUGAGGCUCAGAGAGGCUGUGUGACUUGCCCAAAGUCACCGCUGGUUAGUGGCAGAGCUGUCUCAGAGUUUCAUCCUACAAAUCCGAGUCAGGUGCUUCUCCUCCACACCACGUGCACACAAGACAUGUCUGGGGUGGAGAGAUGCUGGAAUGCACGGUCUUCGGGGUAUGCUGUGGCAGGGUGAAUGGUGGCCUCCCCCAAAAGAGGUAUGUCCAUGUUGUAACGCCCGGGACCUGUGAAUGUGCCCUCGUUCGGGAAAAGGGUCCUUGCAGGUGGAAUUAAGUGACAGAUCUCAAGAUGAGGUCAUCCUGGAUUUAGGGUGGGCCCUGAAUCCCAUGGCAAGUGUCCUUCCAGGAGACAGACAGGGGCAGAUUGGGGACACAGAAGACAAGGCCAUGUGAAGAUGGAGGGAGAGACGAUAGAGAUGCUGCCUCCAGCCCAGGAUGCUGGGAGCUGGAACGAGCAUGGGAUGGAUUCUCUCGCAGAGCCUCCGGAAGGAACCGCCUUGAUUCUGGAUCUCUGGCCUCCGGAACUGUGAGAGCAUAACUUUGUGUGGUUAAGACACCGAGUUCGUGGUCAUUUGUGUGGCCACCCUGGGAAACAGAGACUGUGACUCCAAAACUCUCCCAGUCACCUGGUAUGAGCUGUCAGCUGCUCAAUGAACCCACUUAGCACGUGGCCGGGGGGGGGUGUGAGAGCCGGGACGGGCCCGGGGGCCCCGGAAUGACACAGCCCCUCCGCGAUGGCACCACCCAAGGGCCAGCCGGCUCCCGCCCGGCCCCGGACAGCCAGCCUCUCACCCUCAGCCCCUCCUCCUUUGCCACCCUCCCUUUGGUUUGGUUUCGCUCCAGACCGAGAAAAGAAUGAUGCUCCAACAGCUCUGGGAAAGGUGACUCGGCCUUAGGAGACGUCACCCCUCCGGCAGGAGGCAUUUAUGGAGCCAGAAAUGUCCUUUGGAUUUGCCGUACCUUCUUGGAGGUGGUCAGAAGGGGGCUCAGCCAGCCUGCCCAGCUUAAGGAGCAGCGGGAGGAACCUCAAUAAAAUGCAGAUUCCGAUGCAGCGGGCCUGGGGCCGGGCCCACAACUCUGCCUUUGCAACCAGCAGCAAGCUGGUGCCGUUGCUGCCGGUCCUCAGCCCACACUCGGAGCAGAGAGUCACCCAACCGCCACCUGUGAAAUGCCAUCGUGUCAUUGCCACCACCAUCCCUGGGGUGCCGUUUGAAGAACAAAUUCUCUUGUUUUGUAUCAGGGCGCUUUGUAAGCUGUGAAGUCCUGUACAAUUAUGUAUUUCUGUAAAAAGAUGACCAAGAAUAUGAUUGAGCGGCGGUAUUUGAAGCCAAAGGACUUGGUUUAGGACCAAGUUCUAGCUCCUCUCACCAGCUAAGGAUGUCUUAGGUGAACACCUCCUUUCUCGGAGCCUGUAAAGUGGGGACGAUGGUGCUACCUCACGGGCUAGCUGUGAAGAUAAAUCAAACGCGAUCAUCGAGGGAAACAGCAGCGGGAAGAGCCCGCACACGGGAGACACCCGGUCGCAUUCUUCCUCCUGACCAUUGUCCCGUUUACAGGGUGCGAACGGUCGGGGGAGGCUGCCGCUCUUCUUUCCCCUCUCAUCCUGGAGUCCAACCUGCCAGGUCGUGAUGUAAGGGCCACUUGGUCCCCAAGGUCCGCCCAGGCUGCUCCAUGUUCCAACUGUCCUGGAGGCUGGACCACCAGUUCCUCCGCCGCGUCCCUGAGGGCGCGUGUGCCUCCACCUGCAGCUGCCCGGGGGCCUGUGAGCGAGACCUCAGCCACCGCCUCCUGGAGCUGGGGGUUUGGGCAAGAGGGAGGCCAGCAGCUCAGCGUUUCGUUUCCCUUGGGAAACUACCUGCUGCCUGAAGGUGCUUGGGGUUUGGUGGGAGCGCGGUCAGUCUCCAUGGCGAUGAGGUUUGUGGGUGUAAGCCAGCGGUGAGGGCCUGGCGCCUGCUGGAUCGGGGGGGCAGGCUCAGAGCUCCCACCCGCUCCCGGGCCUACACGGAGGGGUCUUCCGCCCACAGUGGCUUUUCCUCCACCCCCACCCCCAGCAUCCCGCCCCCUCCACAGCAGGAGCCACGCGCAGGUGGGCACUGGGACAGCAGACACGGCCGUGUGCAGCCCUGGAGAGGCUGCCGGGCGUCAGCUCGCUCGCAGCCGUGCACUGGAGUCUGGUUACGCCUGAACAGGACAAUUACCGUAAUUGCUAUUUGCGCUGAUGACACUGUCAUCAUCAGUCUGACAAUGGGAUGGGCAUUACGCACCCCAACCAGCCACAGCACAGCAGCCUGCCGCAGGCCGGGGCCCCAGCCACUGGAGAGGAGGGCCCAGGCGGACCCCGAUGCCCAGCCCAGGCCUGUCGGGACCCAGGUGCACUCUGCACCACACUCCAGGCCUCCGGCGGUCUCUGACCAUGAGUGGGAUGUCUCUUAGCUUCUGCAUAUGAAGGGUAGGUCUGCAGAUGGGUGAUGUUUACAUAGUAUACUUAAAUCUGCAAAAAAAAAACCAACAAAAAAAGAUAAAUGACCUUAUUGUCUGUACCCAAUCCUAUGGAACUCACAGUUGCCCUUUUCUGAUUCUGUUGAGGGCAGGGGAUCAACAGCAGAAAAUGAACCAGCCUUCCCACUUACGGUAACUGGGAGCUUAUUUCUAACAGUCGCUUUUGUAUUCAUCACAGGUCAUUGGGUGAGUGACCAGUUCAAAAUUAAAACUCCUGGUCAGGGCUGUUCCUGCCUGGCUCCCGGGAGCCCUCGUGGUAUUGAGGGUGGGGUCUGCAUACUUCCCUCUGCCCCUAUGCAGGUCCUCUGUCGUGUCUGGGCCCAGGCCCUGUGCUUGCUCCCAGUGAACGUGGCCAUCUCCCCUGGUGGCCAGACCCCAUCUCAGCUCUCACUGGUCCUGAAGAUGCCCUGAGUCCCGGUGAUGACAAAAACUCCAUGCCAGCCUGCAAGGGCCACCUGUAGCCUCUGGCUGCUGUGCCCAGCCCAACGGUGGCUCCUUGGCAAACCUGCCAGUCCGCACCCUUGGCCUCCUUCCCAGCUUCC
ensembl:lncRNA